ACCUGAAGUCAAGAGGAAAGGAAGGUUGUGAGCAGACUGUUGGCUAAAAUCACAUCAUUUUCAUCAUUCAGACUGUUGAUAGAGCGAUUGAAAGCAACAAUAUACUUGCAGUUUACUGUCAUCCAUGACAUGACAUGUGCCAUCGUUUCCAACCGUGUUAUGCUAUUUAAAAUCAAUUCACUAUCUUGACCCCUUUUUUUUUAUAGCAAUCGAUGGCAUGCAAAUUGUCAAUUUCCACGACUUAAUAGUGAUGUCAUUUAAGAAUACUCUCCUGCUUCAACUGUUAAUAUGGUUGUGUUACGUGAUAAUGAAGUAUUAGGUUUUGUUUGUGAAUGUGAUAGAAUAAAUGUACACUGCAUUUGGAAAUAUUGCAUCUAA